GCUCAGGAUGAACGCUAGCUACAGGCUUAACACAUGCAAGUCGAGGGGCAGCAUGGUCUUAGCUUGCUAAGGCCGAUGGCGACCGGCGCACGGGUGAGUAACACGUAUCCAACCUGCCGUCUACUCUUGGACAGCCUUCUGAAAGGAAGAUUAAUACAAGAUGGCAUCAUGAGUCCGCAUGUUCACAUGAUUAAAGGUAUUCCGGUAGACGAUGGGGAUGCGUUCCAUUAGAUAGUAGGCGGGGUAACGGCCCACCUAGUCUUCGAUGGAUAGGGGUUCUGAGAGGAAGGUCCCCCACAUUGGAACUGAGACACGGUCCAAACUCCUACGGGAGGCAGCAGUGAGGAAUAUUGGUCAAUGGGCGAGAGCUUGAACCAGCCAAGUAGCGUGAAGGAUGACUGCCCUAUGGGUUGUAAACUUCUUUUAUAAAGGAAUAAAGUCGGGUAUGGAUACCCGUUUGCAUGUACUUUAUGAAUAAGGAUCGGCUAACUCCGUGCCAGCAGCCGCGGUAAUACGGAGGAUCCGAGCGUUAUCCGGAUUUAUUGGGUUUAAAGGGAGCGUAGAUGGAUGUUUAAGUCAGUUGUGAAAGUUUGCGGCUCAACCGUAAAAUUGCAGUUGAUACUGGAUAUCUUGAGUGCAGUUGAGGCAGGCGGAAUUCGUGGUGUAGCGGUGAAAUGCUUAGAUAUCACGAAGAACUCCGAUUGCGAAGGCAGCCUGCUAAGCUGCAACUGACAUUGAGGCUCGAAAGUGUGGGUAUCAAACAGGAUUAGAUACCCUGGUAGUCCACACGGUAAACGAUGAAUACUCGCUGUUUGCGAUAUACUGCAAGCGGCCAAGCGAAAGCGUUAAGUAUUCCACCUGGGGAGUACGCCGGCAACGGUGAAACUCAAAGGAAUUGACGGGGGCCCGCACAAGCGGAGGAACAUGUGGUUUAAUUCGAUGAUACGCGAGGAACCUUACCCGGGCUUAAAUUGCAGAUGAAUUACGGUGAAAGCCGUAAGCCGCAAGGCAUCUGUGAAGGUGCUGCAUGGUUGUCGUCAGCUCGUGCCGUGAGGUGUCGGCUUAAGUGCCAUAACGAGCGCAACCCUUGUUGUCAGUUACUAACAGGUUCCGCUGAGGACUCUGACAAGACUGCCAUCGUAAGAUGUGAGGAAGGUGGGGAUGACGUCAAAUCAGCACGGCCCUUACGUCCGGGGCUACACACGUGUUACAAUGGGGGGUACAGAGGGCCGCUACCACGCGAGUGGAUGCCAAUCCCCAAAACCUCUCUCAGUUCGGACUGGAGUCUGCAACCCGACUCCACGAAGCUGGAUUCGCUAGUAAUCGCGCAUCAGCCACGGCGCGGUGAAUACGUUCCCGGGCCUUGUACACACCGCCCGUCAAGCCAUGGGAGCCGGGGGUACCUGAAGUGCGUAACCGCGAGGAGCGCCCUAGGGUA
rnacentral:rRNA from 1 species